CCCUAUCCGUCGUGGGCGUAGGAAAUUUGAGAGGAGCUGUCCUUAGUACGAGAGGACCGGGAUGGACGCACCGCUGGUGUACCAGUUGUCUUGCCAAAGGCAUAGCUGGGUAGCUAUGUGCGGAAGGGAUAAGUGCUGAAAGCAUCUAAGCAUGAAGCCCCCCUCAAGAUGAGAUUUCCCUGUUACUUUGUAACGUAAGAUCCCUGAAAGAUGAUCAGGUUGAUAGGUCAGAGGUGGAAGCGCGGUGACGUGUGGAGCUGACUGAUACUAAUCGAUCGAGGACUUAACCUAAUACAA
rnacentral:rRNA from 1 species